GGCCCUAUGGGUUGUAAACUGCUUUUGUAUGGGAAUAACCACAUCUACGUGUAGAUGUCUGAACGUACCAUACGAAUAAGGAUCGGCUAACUCCGUGCCAGCAGCCGCGGUAAUACGGAGGAUUCGAGCGUUAUCCGGAUUUAUUGGGUUUAAAGGGUCCGUAGGCGGGUCUUUAAGUCAGUGGUGAAAUCCCAGAGCUCAACUCUGGAACUGCCAUUGAAACUGAAGAUCUUGAAUUUAGUUGAGGUAGGCGGAAUACGUUAUGUAGCGGUGAAAUGCAUAGAUAUAACGUAGAACACCGAUUGCGAAGGCAGCUUACUAAACUAACAUUGACGCUGAGGGACGAAAGCGUGGGGAGCGAACAGGAUUAGAUACCCUGGUAGUCCACGCCGUAAACGAUGAUUACUCGCUGUGUGCAAUACACUGUACGUGGCUAAGCGAAAGCAUUAAGUAAUCCACCUGGGGAGUACGUUCGCAAGAAUGAAACUCAAAGGAAUUGACGGGGGCCCGCACAAGCGGAGGAACAUGUGGUUUAAUUCGAUGAUACGCGAGGAACCUUACCUGGACUUAAAUGCAGAUUGAUCGGACCAGAGAUGGUUUUUCCCUUCGGGGCAAUCUACAAGGUGCUGCAUGGUUGUCGUCAGCUCGUGCCGUGAGGUGUCGGGUUAAGUCCCAUAACGAGCGCAACCCCUAUCGUUAGUUACUAACAGGUUAAGCUGAGGACUCUAGCGAGACUGCCACCGUAAGGUGUGAGGAAGGUGGGGAUGACGUCAAAUCAGCACGGCCCUUACGUCCAGGGCUACACACGUGUUACAAUGGUCGAUACAAAGGGUUGCUACCUGGUGACAGGAUGCUAAUCUCUAAAGUCGAUCUCAGUUCGGAUCGGAGUCUGCAACUCGACUCCGUGAAGUUGGAUUCGCUAGUAAUCGUAGAUCAGCAACGCUACGGUGAAUACGUUCCCGGGCCUUGUACACACCGCCCGUCAAGCCAUGGAAGCUGGGGGUGCCUGAAGUUCGUAACCGUAAGGAGCGACCUAGGGUAAAACUGGUAACUAGGGCUAAGUCGUAACAAGGUAGCCGUACCGGAAGGUGUGGCUGGAACACCUCCUUUCU
rnacentral:rRNA from 1 species